rnacentral:rRNA from 1 species
UACGAAGGGGGCGAGCGUUGUUCGGAUUUACUGGGCGUAAAGGGCGCGCAGGCGGCUCCACAAGUCAGGCGUGAAAGCCCCGGGCUCAACCUGGGAGGUGCGUUUGGGACUGUGGGGCUAGAGAUCGGGAGAGGAGAGUGGAAUUCCCAGUGUAGAGGUGAAAUUCGUAGAUAUUGGGAAGAACACCGGUGGCGAAGGCGGCUCGCUGGACCGAGACUGACGCUGAGGCGCGAAAGCGUGGGGAGCAAACAGG